UAGGGAAUCUUCCACAAUGGACGCAAGCCUGAUGGAGCAACACCGCGUGAGUGAAGAAGGGUUUCGGCUCGUAAAGCUCUGUUGUUAAAGAAGAACACGUAUGAGAGUAACUGUUCAUACGUUGACGGUAUUUAACCAGAAAGUCACGGCUAACUACGUGCCAG
rnacentral:rRNA from 1 species